AUUGAACGCUGGCGGCAGGCUUAACACAUGCAAGUCGAGCGGAGAUGAGGUGCUUGCACCUUAUCUUAGCGGCGGACGGGUGAGUAAUGCUUAGGAAUCUGCCUAUUAGUGGGGGACAACAUUCCGAAAGGAAUGCUAAUACCGCAUACGCCCUACGGGGGAAAGCAGGGGAUCUUCGGACCUGGCGCUAAUAGAUGAGCCUAAGUCGGAUUAGCUAGUUGGUGGGGUAAAGGCCUACCAAGGCGACGAUCUGUAGCGGGUCUGAGAGGAUGAUCCGCCACACUGGGACUGAGACACGGCCCAGACUCCUACGGGAGGCAGCAGUGGGGAAUAUUGGACAAUGGGCGGAAGCCUGAUCCAGCCAUGCCGCGUGUGUGAAGAAGGCCUUUUGGUUGUAAAGCACUCUAAGCGAGGAGGAGGCUACCUGGAUUAAUACUCUAGGAUAGUGGACGUUACUCGCAGAAUAAGCACCGGCUAACUCUGUGCCAGCAGCCGCAGUAACAC
rnacentral:rRNA from 1 species